GCUUCCAUGGCUCAGUUGGUCAGAGCGCCGGUCUCAUAAUCCGGAGAUCACCAGUUCGACCCUGGUUGGGAGCA
rnacentral:tRNA from 1 species